rnacentral:rRNA from 1 species
AACGAACGCUGGCGGCAUGCCUAACACAUGCAAGUCGAACGAGACCUUCGGGUCUGGUGGCGCACGGAUGCGUAACGCGUGGGAACCUGCCCUUAGGUUCGGCAUAACUUCCCGAAAGGGGUGCUAAUACCGGAUAAUGUCCUGGGUCCAAAGGUUUGUCGCCUUUGGAUGGGCCUGCGUGGUAUCAGUUAGUUGUUAGGCUAAACCCCUACCACUGCGACGUGACGUAGAUGGGUUGUGAGGCACAGCAGCGACACUGGUGCUGAGACACGGCCGAGAAUCUUACGGGAGGCAGCAGUGGGUGAUCUAGGCAAGCGGGCGGUAGGAUGAUGCAGUAAUGACGCGUGAGUGAUGAAGGCCUUAGGGAUGUAAAGCUCUUUUACACGGGAUGAUAAUGACAGUACCGGGAGAAUAAGCACCGGCUAACUCCGUG